rnacentral:rRNA from 1 species
UAAUACGUAGGCAGCAAGCGUUGUUCGGAAUUACUGGGCGUAAAGAGUGUGUAGGCGGUUCGCCAAGUUUGGUGUGAAAUCUCCCGGCUUAACUGGGAGGGUGCGCCGAAAACUGGCGGGCUUGAGGGUGGGAGAGGUAAGCGGAAUUUCUGGUGUAGCGGUGAAAUGCGUAGAUAUCAGAAGGAACACCUGUGGUGUAGACAGCUUACUGGACCACUUCUGACGCUGAGACACGAAAGCGUGGGUAGCAAACAGGAUUAGAUACCCUGGUAGUCCACGCCCUAAACGAUGCAUACUUGGUGUGAGCCAUUCAUUUGGUUCGUGCCGGAGCUAACGCGUUAAGUAUGCCGCCUGGGGAGUACGGUCGCAAGGCUG